CACGUAGGGUGCGAGCGUUGUCCGGAAUUAUUGGGCGUAAAGAGCUCGUAGGCGGUGUGUCACGUCGGCCGUGAAAACCUGCAGCUUAACUGUGGGCGUGCGGUCGAUACGGGCAUCACUGGAGUUCGGCAGGGGAGACUGGAAUUUACGGUGUAGCGGUGAAAUGCGUAGAUAUCGUAAGGAAGGCCAGUGGCGAAGGCGGGUCUCUGGACAGUUCCUGACGCUGAGGCACGAAGGCCAGGGGAGCAAACGGG
rnacentral:rRNA from 1 species